GCCGAUCCGUGAGGAGCGGGUGCCGUACAAAUGUGUUUAUAAUUCACAGCGUGUGGAACCAUUUGUGUUCUGUGGGAUCAGAAUGUCCUGAGCUGGAACGGGAGCGGACCCUCAGGGAUCAUCCAGUGCGACCCCGUUGCUGCGACAGAUCUGAUGGAGCGUUUUAAGGGAUGGAUGCUGCUCUUUGCAGAGUUCCUCAUGAGACCGUGGCAAACCUCCCUGCAAUCAUCUCUCCAAUUUGUGGCUGUUCCCCUGAACUUCAAAGGGAAAAAUGCCUGAUAUUGGUGCUGGAAGAGACAAGGCACUGCCCAAACUGACCCUCAGAUUUAGGGCAGAUCAGAGUCACUGUGCACAGAGAACUGAUGGGAGAUCUAAAGAGAUUUACAGAGAGAUAACAAAGAUAUCUCUCCACUCAAAUUCCAUAGGGAAGCAUUUCCACUCCAUAGUUUUUUUCAGUGUCUAUAAUAUGUCUUUGAAGGCCAUGUGGAUAUUCAAGCCCUUAAAGGAAAUAACUCUCUUUUCAGGUGUUUUUCUUUUUUUUUUCUCCCCCCAAAUAUUUAAUUCUGAAACAGCAAAUAGGAGUUUCCUUAAAAUGGAGAACAGCUUGUUUCCAUUUCCUCUCAGAGGCCAACAUUACUCAGGAAAAAUCCAGGUGUAAAGACAGGAGAUGGGGCCAGGCUGAGCCUGGAUUAAAUCACCUUGUUGAGCCUCUGCUCAGCAAAGUGUUCAAACCCACUUUUAGCAGGGCUGGGGGAGAAUUUCCAGUGAACAGGGAUUCGUUUAGUGAACCUCAGCUUCCAAAAAUGGAGCUAAAACAAAUGCAGCAAAUCCCUUCAUCUGACAAUAGCUCUGUGAAAUGCUCCAUUUCCAAAGUGCUCCAGCACUUCAACGUUUUAGCUUUUCUAUUUUCUCUGUU